UACAACCAUAUCACGUUGAAACAACGAUUCCCGUGUGAUCACCAAAGUUAAGCAACACUGAGCCUGGUAAGUAUCUAGAUGAGUGACCGCUUGGCAAUACCAGCUGCUGUAA